rnacentral:lncRNA from 1 species
AGUCAGAGGGUGCCGCCAUUGCCGCCCUGUUUGAGUCCUGUGUAGCUCCAGGGAGGCAGGUGGUGACUUGGCCUGAGUCGCUGUCCCUUCUGCUGAUUGUAGGCCCUUUAGGAAGCACACUGCUCGCGUGUGAAAUCAGGAAAUGGUGAGUGUGCCCUGUGUUCCUGGAGUCGUGCGUGGCACGUUGGUGACAUCGCGGAGGCUUUGUCCCUGUGUGGUGCCGCGGCACUGACGUUCGCCUGAUUCUGUGCAGGAGUCUGUCACCCGCGCCCUCUCACCCACGUGCGUUUUAAUUCCGUGCAGAGCAGGCAGCGGGGAGCCUGGGGUCUGGUCCUGUCGGUCCGGCCCUGCCCUGCCCCGCCCCCCUUCUGAAGCAGUGUCUUCUAGUCCGCUGUGCUCUCGGGUGAGACAGCGCCUCUCCAGACUGCAUCGCUGGCGAGUUGGCGUGAUGCUCUGUAGCAUUUAGACUGUUGUGAGGGGCUUUGAUAAACGCUGUUCGUUCCUUCCUUCCUUCCUUCCUUCCUUCCUUCGUGGGCAUCGAACCUCAGGCUUUGCUCAUUCUAGGCAAUCCUUUUACCAAUGAACUGUAAACCUAUCCCGCAUCCUGGUUUUUGCUGUUAGCGUUAAUGCAGGAGGAUUUGUUUGCUCCCUCUGGGCUGAGAGUGGGAGGAAUGCUCCGGCUUGCAAGGAAGAGAGGAUUUUCAAUUUGCUUCAAAAUUGUUUGGAUUCACCAACCAAUUGGGCAAUUAAUUGUCUAGGCACAGGUGAAAUUUGGGGGAAUUUUUUUUUUCUUCUAGCAUUGCUGGCUGUAAAAAAAAAAGCAUGAGAUGGGAUGAAUAAUUUAAUUGUAAAAACAAACAAAAACGUGGUAGAUUCUUUGGCUGUGGACUUGAACAGAAGGGAUGAGAGGGUUAUAUCUGUUUCUAUCUCAUCGUUAUGAAUAUUCGUAAGUUGUUUAUAUCCUCUUGAUUUAAUUUUAGCUUGUUGUAUGCGACUCAGAAUCAAACCAUUUCUUGCAUAUAUUUCUUUUCCUCGUGGGGGGUAUUUUUUUCAAAAUACUACCAAAUGGUCCACUGCUUUUCUUUUUUCCUGUCUUUUUUUUUUUUAGUCUCUUGCAACCUCCCCUAAUUUAUGACUUUAUUAAUUUGUCUCUUCCCUCUUUUUUGUUAGCUUGACUACAGUUUUGCCUAUUUUACUGUUUUUUAAAAGAACCAUUUCUGAGAUUGACAUUGACUGUGUGUAUUCUUUGAGUCAAUUUCAAUAAUUUUUCAACUUAUUUUUUACUUCUUGCUGUCUUUUGCUCUUAAGUCUGACAUUUUGUUGUUUUCCUAAGACCUUGUGUUUGAGCCAUUAAGUUGAACUAUUUAUUCGGCAUUCUGAAUUCUCAGUGUGUGUAUGGGAAGCCGCGGUAGCUUUUUUGGCUCUAAAUUGAAGAUGAACUUGGAGGGUAACCAGAGGAAAAUUUAAUCGAGUUUUUGAGGUUGAGAGGGGGAAAGCAGAAAACAGGGCAGGCAAGCUUUAAAUAUUGGCAUUUGUGGUUAGGCGAGAAAACAAAACAAAAGGAUGCCUUUUAAGUUCAACAUGGAGAUCAGAGAAACAGUGAGGAAGCCAAGGGUGUUAAGGAAAGCAUAUUUUCUAAGUGUUGAGACUUGGAUUUGAGUUCAGAGGGGACCUGAUUUACAGGGUCUUGUUUCAUACACGGAAGGAUUACACCAGAGACAAAGUCUGAGAAAAUGUGAUCCAUGACAUGUUGUGAGACAUUUGCAAAACAUCCAGUUUAUAUACCAGGAGCUUUUCUUGAGCGCGCCCCAGUAAGAAAGGGCUUAAGAUCUUCCUUUGCUGACUGGCUUCUUUCUUAUGUUAAUCUUCAGGUUGCUUUUUGUUUUAUUUUGUUUUUACUCCUAUUUUGCAUUUGUAUGUAAACAUUUGUAGCUAUGAGAGGUAUGAAUGAGCUUACCUCUUGCUACUGUCUUGUUUUCCCACUUGAAAAUAGAUUUUCUACCUAUAUAUUUAUAUAUCCUGAUUGUGGUUUCUUCUCCCUUUCCCAUCACAGUUCCCUUUCUGAUUCUCAUUAGGAAAACAAACAAAAACAACAACAACAACAAAAAAAAAACAAACCAGGUUUCUAAGGUAGAAUAAUAAAAUGUAGUAAGAUAACAAAAAUUAACAUAUCUAAAUUGG